AGAAGAGAGAGCAACUCGAACAAGAAGAGAGGUUGCAACAAUUGAUGGUCCUCCUCCUGUCCAUCUCUUUUCUCCUUCUUUUCUUUCUCCUUCUUCAGGUUUGGUUUCACCAAAGAUGAAGGUGCUGAGAUGAUGAAGAAGAGAACAGUAAAGAGGAUGGAAGGUCUUAAAUGAUGUCUUGCUUUUUCCUUCUUGAGAUAGAUGUCGGUUACUACAAAAUUUAGAAGAAGACAACAAGUU
rnacentral:ribozyme from 13 species